AACCUGAGAGGAUCUGAUGGAGAAACGCAUAAAUAACGGCGAUACGUCUCCUGGGUCCUCCUGUAGCCGCCAACCCGUCACUACCCACAAAAGAUUCAACAAUAAUUCACUCGUCCUUGGUAUUUACUGCCCUUUGAGUGAUUUGAAUGCAGCAUGAGGCCUACCUGAAACGCCGAAAACACGGUCCCGGGACUUAUCUAUCUCCGUUGGAACUACACAGCGGCCAUUUCCCGACUCGGGCACGGGAGGAAAACCAUAGAGACUAGAAACAAAAAGACCGUCUCAAGCCGAAGAAAAGACCGGAAGGCAAGAGGGCUGUGUUCACAAACCGAGUCUCCUCCUUUUGCCAGCAAAGCGCCUAGCUUUUUCCUAGACACCUAGCCGGACGCUUGGAAGUGUCGCUUUUGCUUUGAAAUAAAAUGUGCCAAACGCACUUCAAUAGUAGAAAAAUGGCCACAAGCUAACUACCUUAUAGAGUGGCGUGAGACCAGCUCUGCUAUCCCUAAAGGAGUUUGCAUCGCAGUAUUCUGAGCUUCUUAGGCUGUCUUGGUUUGCAUCAGAGGAUGGUGCUUCUUUCCUCCCGAUGGUGCUUGGGCACCUCAGAACGUUGGCAUAGGCAUAAAAAUAAUCCACAGCACGAAGCAUAACGAUUUUUUGUGCCGUCCGAGAAAACAGCUCAGUAUAGCUUUGUCUGCCAAAAAUAGCCUGCCCCUCACCCCACCUCCAACACCAUCUGAAUGUGGAAGCAGUAAUCUUUGGGCUGCAUGGUGCACUGAUAAGUUCCCAGCAUUUAGUAGGUGCUGGCGGCCGAAGCUGGAUGCAAGAGUCUUGAAGGCUGUGUACUUUGCUUGGACAGUCUAAGAUCUACCCGAGGAGGGGCACCUAGCUGGCUCAGUUGGUGUAGCGUAUGACACUUGAUCUUGGGAGUUGUGAGUUCAAGCUCCACGUUGUGUGUAAAGAUUACUUAAUAAAAAAUCUGCCUGAGAAAGGG